rnacentral:rRNA from 1 species
UACAGAGGGGGCAAGCGUUGUUCGGAAUUACUGGGCGUAAAGGGCGCGUAGGCGGCCUGUUAAGUCGAACGUGAAAUCCCCGGGCUCAACCCGGGAACUGCGUCCGAUACUGGCAGGCUUGAAUCCGGGAGAGGGAUGUGGAAUUCCAGGUGUAGCGGUGAAAUGCGUAGAUAUCUGGAGGAACACCGGUGGCGAAGGCGGCUUUCUGGACAGUAACUGACGCUGAGGCGCGAAAGCUAGGGGAGCAAACAGG